rnacentral:rRNA from 1 species
UACGGAGGGAGCUAGCGUUGUUCGGAAUUACUGGGCGUAAAGCGCGCGUAGGCGGCCCGGUAAGUCCGCUGUAAAAGUCAAAGGCUCAACCUUUGAAUGUCAGUGGAUACUGCCGGGCUAGAGUCCGGAAGAGGCGAGUGGAAUUCCUGGUGUAGCGGUGAAAUGCGCAGAUAUCAGGAAGAACACCCGUGGCGAAGGCGGCUCUCUGGUACGUGACUGACGCUGAGACGCGAAAGCGUGGGGAGCAAACAGG